rnacentral:lncRNA from 1 species
GUUAAAGUACAAAAGUAAGUAUAUUUUUAUCGUCUCCACAGGGACUGAUGCGAUAUCGAUGUCGUUCAACAAUUAAUAUUAUUUCAAGUAAAGGAUUUCAAAGAUGGUUGAUUACGAAAGUUGCGAAAACAUGAAAGUAGUCAAGAUAAUUAAUUUGACAGAUAGAUUAAAUUGCUGGGAUUAGCUUUCAAUCACUCAUUCAUACAUAUUCCCCAAAUCAGUUACACAAGUUCUAGUCAUCUAUUAAUAUUAUCACGUAUCGCUCGUCGAACGUUUCCG